CAUUAUUUUUGGAUAUUCCUCCUCUGUAGAAGCUAAUCGAUGAUAUUUUGUGAACUUAAAGCACUAUAGCGUUCGUGUUAUAUUAUAAACGUUUUUUCACACAUGUAACAUUUUGUCUUAAAAUGUAAAACUCUAUUGUAAGAGUAGCAACAUUCUUCAUACGAAGUUUUUGAAUAUGUAAGAAUGAGAAUCAGAUAUUGAAAAUGAAUCCGUUAAAAAUUGCCGUCAUUGAAUCGCCAUACGAAGAAAAAUUUGGAGCAUCGUAAAUGAUUUGAAGAGCGUCAGUUCCAGAUGAGGUUCUCUUAGAACAAUGUGGAUCUUGCGAUAUGUUUGAAUGCUCCAGAAUAACAAUUUUACGGACGUGUUGUUAAGGAGACACUAUGAAAAUAUAACAAAAAUACUGAUGUGAUUGUCUCAUAGACACCUACCUUAAUAUUCAUGUGGUUGACUCGCAGACACUUUUUCGCUUGAAAUGGCACGGGAUGAUAAUAAGGGGAUUUGAUAAUAAGAUCCAGAUUUUAUUAAAAACCAAGUAUCAUCAUGGAAGCCUACAUUUGAAUGCCGCUCUUAAGUCAAAUACGUACAUGAUUGAAAUAUAAAAUUCUGUUAGAAAAAGCUAUUUUUCAUAAAAAUGUUUGGAAAUUGUUAAUGUUAAUGUAUACUAAAAGAAAGAUAGUUUAAUUAUCUUUUAAUCCAUAAUGAAUUAAAAAAAAAUGCAUUUAUUUUGUAAAUGCUUCAAGGCUAUAUUUAUUGUUUUAUGCAAGUCAAAAGUACAUGUCGAAAUACAAAAUGUUGUUAGCAUGGGCUUUGUUUUAUAAGCAUGUUUAAAAAUAUACAAUGUUAACGCAUAUGAAAAUGGAGAUAGUUCAA